rnacentral:lncRNA from 1 species
GCCACAAGAUGGAAGGACUAAGGUCAGGUGGUUCCUCGCAUCUUCCCCAGACGCUGACACUGAGUCUUUGUUACAGAGAGAUGAUAAAAAUUACUGUAGUUUAAAUGGUAUUUGUGCAUUUGUCAAAGCCUUGAUGAAAUUAUUGUAGACUUCAUCUUAUUUAUUUAUUUAUUUAUUUUUUGAGACAGAGCCUCGCUCUGUCACCCAGGCUGGAAUGCAGUGGCGUGAUCUCAGCUCACUGAAACCUCCACCUCCCAGGUUCAAGUGAUUCUUCUGCCUCAGCCUCCUGAGUAGCUGGGACUACAGAUGCACACCACCACGCCCGGCUAAUUUUUGUAUUUUUAGUAGAGACAGGAUUUCCCCACGUUGGCCAGGCUGGUCUCGAAUGCCUGACCUCAGAAAGUCCAUGAGAUGCUGAAGAAGGGGUGGGAUGCUGAAGGUUCUCCCUUCCGAGGCCAGCGAUUCGACCCCGCCAUGUUCAACAUCUCCCCGGGGGCUGUGCAGUUUUAAUGACCAGAAGGAAAGGAAACCCUCGCCGGUGGGGAGGCAGAGCCUUAUCCUCGGCCGCCCUCCUCGGCUCCCUGCGUUCCAGGGACUUGCUCGUCUUGUUUACCCCUAACCAUCCUUUCUUUCAAGGGUGAACCAGGCCUUCCACCCUGACCUUGCAUCUCCAGACUGUUGCAGAGAAGGUGCGGGGCCAGCUGCUGUGUGGUGGCCGCUGUGGCUGACGCUGAGUGAAGGUGUUUGAAAUGCAGGAGAGGAUAUCCCAGCAAAUUGGGAUCACAUGCUUUUGUCUCCACAGCAACCAGCCACUGCAGGCAGCAUGUCUUUCCUCCCCUGCUCCCUGCUUGCUGUUGUUUUGACGCUAUUCUGCUUGCAUGUCUUCUGGUUGGGAUGUGGAGUUGUUGCUGGGCUCUCAGGCGAAGCUGAAGUCAUUGAAGUGUGUGAAGCUCUGUGCUUGCAUGAGGGCGAGCAAGGAAUGGCUGUGCCUGGGGCUGCUUUGGGAAACUCUUUGCCCCUUGACCUCUUUUGGGAGCAUUCACGUGGUCUUCUUGCUCAUCCCUUUAUAAAUGUGCUCUGCCUGCCUCAGCCUCAUGGUCAGAGCAGUGGAAACUGGAGCCCUGUUUGCACAUUCUAGUUGUUGGGAGAAAGCCCGGGUUCUGGGCUCAGGUCCAGAUGCAGCAGGGAUUCUGUUCUCUGACUGUGGCGACCUUGCUUUGGUUCUUGUUGAAGUGAACCAAGCCCAGCCACCACGCAUGGCAUGCUGUGCUUGGCUCCCCAUAAGACGUCCUCUUUGGGUGCACGGUGUCAAAGUGUAGGCAGGAGUGGAGAGCUGGUGCCCUCAGGAGGAGACCACAGCAUGUUCAUCAGCUCAUCAGCAGAGCACAACAGCCACAAGUCCUGAGAAGCUUUGACCUUGAGGGGCUUCUAGGAGAAGUGGAAUUUCUGCAUGGGGCGUGAAGGCACACUGUCCCACCACAACUGAACCAGAAGAGAGAGAAGACUCCCCCCUUUCCAUCCUCUGUGCCGGGUGUCAGACUGCGCUCCCUGGAGCUUAUGGCCCGAUCUUACCUGUUCUCUGGGGACUGGUCACUGCCUCAGGAGCCCCAAGCCUAUGCCCUGAGCCAUGGCUGCUGAUUGACUCCAGCCAAGGUGCAAAGAUGAAAUUAUGGGACAGGGCCUCAGGCCUGUGUUCCAAGUACUCACAGGGGCUCUGGGUGCCCAUCGCCGGGAGUAUGGUUCAGCUACCACCGGCACUGCCCAUUUGCCUGUCUCUCAAGCUCAGAGCAUGGAUGAGCCGCACAGCAGAGCAGUGCACCCUGGCACCAUGCACGGCCAGCAAGAAUCAAGGCCUGCAGAUGCUAAGAGAGCCUAUUGUCAGGGGAAGGACCCCACCCCUGCACACACUCUCUGUGGAUACUUGGGUUGUGGGGGCUGUCUUGGAGAGUAAGUUUGUGGUUGGUUUCUGGUUUACAGUGGUGGCUGACACCCCUUGUAAGAAAGCAUUCCUGGGAAGUCUUCUGUGGGUCUAAACAUGUUGCUCCGAUCAUCACGCGAGAGCAGAAGGCCCUAGAUACCCCCUUUGGAAUGUGAGAGCCUUGUUGUCUGAUACUUGCCACUGAGCUGGUGAAGCCGCUCUAAGGAGAUCUCGACCCUGGGGAGCAGAACUCUUGUCAUCUAUGAGGGGUCCUUCUGAGAAAGACUCAUUUUUUUCCUGGAGUUCUUCCCGUCGAGGUCCUAGGAUUUCACACCACUGUCCCAUAAGAGCUUUCCUGCCUAAUGAAAGGAGGUCUUGUGUGUGUCUCCUCUCAUCUCUGUAGUUCUCGAGUUGGCCCCCAUUGCAGCCCCACCCUGUGGGUAGUCUUCCAGAAGUGAUGCAGUGGUGUGAGAUGCCCUACACCUUGUUAUUUGGGAGACUUUGAGAAUCACUUCCAUGGUGACCAGUGUUUGUUUUGCCUGAUUUUGUAUUCUGUGUUGCAUUUCUCCCCACUCCCUGCCCUGCUUUAAUAAAUGGCAAACCAAUGUCUAGGAAGAAUGACUGAAGGGCAGUAUUGGGUAUUGGCCCCAUGGCAGGAGCAGCCACUUGCAUCUGGUCCCGGUGCCACACUGCAGUGCUUGGUGUGGUUGUGGAGCCUGUCCCUGCACGCCUUGCUCCCGUUGAGCCACGCUGUUUGGUGGGUGAUUCUCUGCCCUGAGCCACCACUCUGGACUGGCCCAGUCUCCAGAGCUGGCACACCCUGCCUGUUUUCUCUUUUUAGACACAACAGCCGCAGUUUGGCCAGCCACUAAGUCCCACCAGCUGAGGUCCGAGGAAAGCGGGGUGACUCAUUUCCCUUGUCCAGGGCCCCAGGAGAGUGAGGUGUCCAGCCUGCAAAGCUGUUCCAGCUCCUCGGUGUUGGUUUGCAAUAAAUCGGUAUUUAA